rnacentral:rRNA from 1 species
GAUCAUUAAUGAUUUAUACUGGGAGUUGAUGCUGGUAGUCUUGGUUGGCUACAUGUGCUCGCUCCUAUCAAUCAUAUUCCAAACACCUGUGCACAUUUUUGAGAGGUUUUCGAGCUAGUUGCCAUAUUUGGGUGAUUUGCAUGUAUUCCUCUCAAUAUCAAUAUCUAUACUCUGCUAAUAAUGUUGAACGUGUUGUGCCGUAAGGCCUUAAUGGAUAAAUACAACUUUUAACAACGGAUCUCUUGGCUCUCGCAUCGAUGAAGAACGCAGCGAAAUGCGAUAAGUAAUGUGAAUUGCAGAAUUCAGUGAAUCAUCGAAUCUUUGAACGCACCUUGCGCUCCCUGGUAUUCCGGGGAGCACACCUGUUCGAGUGUCGUGAAAUUCCUCAAGCUUUGGAUGGUCUUGUCUGUCCUUAAGUCUUGGUUAUUGGGCUUUGCCAUAUCCCUUCAUUGGGGAUGGCUGGUCUUAAGAGCAUUAGCUGGCCUUUAUGUGAUAUUGGUUCUACUCAGCGUGAUAAUUAUCUGAUCGCCGAGGACAUCUUUUUGGGAUGGCCAGUGUCUGUUUGGGUUGCUUCUAAUCUGGCUUCAGAUACUCUGAAUCCAUAUUUUCAGUUUUGACCUCGAAUCAGGUGGGACUACCCGCUGAACUUAAGCAUAUCAAUAAGCGGAGGAAAAGAAACUAACAAGGAUUCCCCUAGUAACGGCGAGUGAAGCGGGAAGAGCUCAAAUUUAAAAUCUGGCAGCCUUUGGUUGUCCGAAUUGUAAUCUAGAGAAGCGUUUUCCGCGCUGGACUGUGUACAAGUUUCCUGGAUACGGAACAUCAUAGAGGGUGAGAAUCCCGUCCUUGACACAGACUCCCAGUGCUUUGUGAUGCGCUCUCGACGAGUCGAGUUGUUUGGGAUUGCAGCUCAAAAUGGGAGGUAAAUUCCUUCUAAAGCUAAAUAUUGGCGAGAGACCGAUAGCGAACAAGUACCGUGAGGGAAAGAUGAAAAGCACUUUGGAAAGAGAGUUAAACAGUACGUGAAAUUGUUAAAAGGGAAACGCUUGAAGUCAGUCGCGUUUGCUUGGACUCAACCUCACUUCGGUUUGGUGCAUUUCCUUGUGGACGGGCCAGCGUUCAUGUUGUUUGCCGGAGAAGGUGUGAGAGAAUGUGGCUCCCUUGGGAGUGUUAUAGCUCUUGCUCGUAUGCGGGAAAACGAUAUGGAGUGGUACAGCACGCCU